UACGUAGGGUGCGAGCGUUAAUCGGAAUUACUGGGCGUAAAGCGUGCGCAGGCGGUUUUGUAAGCCAGAUGUGAAAUCCCCGGGCUUAACCUGGGAAUGGCAUUUGGGACUGCAAGGCUUGAGUGCGGCAGAGGAGACUGGAAUUCCCGGUGUAGCAGUGAAAUGCGUAGAGAUGUGGAGGAACACCGAUGGCGAAGGCAGCCUCCUGGGCCAGCACUGACGCUCAUGCACGAAAGCGUGGGGAGCAAACAGG
rnacentral:rRNA from 1 species